rnacentral:rRNA from 1 species
UACGUAGGGUGCGAGCGUUAAUCGGAAUUACUGGGCGUAAAGCGUGCGCAGGCGGUUUUGUAAGCCAGAUGUGAAAUCCCCGGGCUCAACCCGGGAACUGCGUCCGAUACUGGAAGGCUUGAAUCCGGGAGAGGGAUGUGGAAUUCCAGGUGUAGCGGUGAAAUGCGUAGAUAUCUGGAGGAACACCGGUGGCGAAGGCGACAUCCUGGACCGGUAUUGACGCUGAGGCGCGAAAGCCAGGGGAGCAAACGGG